rnacentral:rRNA from 1 species
GUAGUCCACGCCCUAAACGAUGGGUACUAGGUGUUGCAGGAAUUGACCCCUGCAGUGCCGCAGCUAACGCAUUAAGUACCCCGCCUGGGAAGUACGGCCGCAAGGUUAAAACUCAAAGGAAUUGACGGGGGCCCGCACAAGCGGUGGAGCAUGUGGUUUAAUUCGAUGCAACGCGAAGAACCUUACCUGGGUUUGACAUCCUCGGACAAUGGUAGAGAUACCACUUUCCCUUCGGGGACCGAGAGACAGGUGCUGCAUGGCUGUCGUCAGCUCGUAUCGUGAGAUGUCGGGUUAAGUCCCUUAACGAGCGCAACCCUUAUCCCUAGUUGCCAUCAUUUAGUUGGGCACUCUAUGGAGACUGCCGGUGUUAAACCGGA